CACACUAAACAGAGCAUCAGAAUUUUCGCACCAGCAGACCAAAUAAAUCAAGUAAAAUAGGUUUUAACUUCAAAAUACUUCACAAUAUUAUUCCCUGUUUUAUAUUCCAACCGAGAUCCUCGAGAAAAAAAGCACCCAAAGAACCAAAACCUUUGUUUUCUGCAACAAAAUGUCUCGAACUGCUCAACCGACCAUGUGAUGAUUUUCAGAAAACAUUUAGCGAUCGAUUAUUUCGUCUUUAUUCAACUUAAAUUGUACAAAUAUUCAUCCAAAACCUUCACACCAGUUAGUUCUUCCCCAAAAAAGGUGGUUCAACGGGAUAGGAAACAGUAGGCAGGCGUAAAAUGCGAAAAACAUGGUUUUUCCCUAUCUCGCUCUAUGAUUUUUGCCCGGUUGAG